UGGGGAAUAUUGGACAAUGGGCGAAAGCCUGAUCCAGCAAUGCCGCGUGAGUGAUGAAGGCCUUAGGGUUGUAAAGCUCUUUUACCCGGGAUGAUAAUGACAGUACCGGGAGAAUAAGCCCCGGCUAACUCCGUGCCAGCAGCCGCGGUAAUACGGAGGGGGUUAGCGUUGUUCGGAAUGACUGGGCGUAAAGCGCGCGUAGGCGGGCUGGAAAGUUGGGGGUGAAAUCCCGGGGCUCAACCCCGGAAUGGCCUUCAAGACUCCCAGCCUAGAGUUCGAGAGAGGUGAGUGGAAUUCCGAGUGUAGAGGUGAAAUUCGUAGAUAUUCGGAGGAACACCAGUGGCGAAGGCGGCUCACUGGCUCGACACUGACGCUGAGGUGCGAAAGCGUGGGGAGCAAA
rnacentral:rRNA from 1 species